AACUUUUAACAACGGAUCUCUUGGUUCUGGCAUCGAUGAAGAACGCAG
rnacentral:rRNA from 1 species